GCUGGCGUAGCUUAAGCAAAGCAUGACACUGAAGAUGUUAAGAUUGGCCCCUAAAAAGUCCCGCAGGCA
rnacentral:tRNA from 2 species